UUCACAGUGGCAGAAUUAAGUGCGAUGAACUUAAGAUUCAUAAAUAGAUCAAUCUCUGUGAAU
rnacentral:tRNA from 1 species